rnacentral:rRNA from 1 species
GAUGAACGCUAGCGGCAGGCUUAACACAUGCAAGUCGAGGGGCAGCGCGGGAUAGCAAUAUCCUGGCGGCGACCGGCGGAAGGGUGCGUAACGCGUGAGCGACAUGCCCGUUGCCCGGGGACAACCGGUGGAAACGCCGACUAAUCCCCGAUGGGAUAUUGUGCCGCAUGGCACGAUAUUGAAAGUUACGGCGGCGACGGAUUGGCUCGCGUCCGAUUAGCUUGUUGGCGGGGUAACGGCCCACCAAGGCUGCGAUCGGUAGGGGUUCUGAGAGGAAGGCCCCCCACAAUGGGACUGGGACACGGCCCAUACUCCUACGGGAGGCAGCAGUGAGGAAUAUGGGUCAAGGGGCGGAAGCCUGAACCAGCCAUGCCGCGUGCGGGAAGGAGGCCCUAUGGGCUGUGAACCGCUUUUGCCUGGGGGCAAUAAGGGCGUCGCGCACGUCCGAUGAGAGUACCAGGCGAAUAAGCAUCGGCUAACUCCGUG